UACGGGGGGUGCAAGCGUUGUUCGGAAUUAUUGGGCGUAAAGCGCGUGUAGGCGGGUUGAUUAGUCUGAUGUGAAAGCCCUGGGCUCAACCCAGGAAGUGCAUUGGAUACUGUCAGACUUGAAUACGGGAGAGGGUAGUGGAAUUCCUAGUGUAGGAGUGAAAUCCGUAGAUAUUAGGAGGAACACCGGUGGCGAAGGCGGCUACCUGGACCGAUAUUGACGCUGAGACGCGAAAGCGUGGGUAGCAAACAGG
rnacentral:rRNA from 1 species